CGUUCGGGGCUUGUGGAGGAGGUGUGCGUGUGAUGCCAGAAGCCAAUAUCAGAGAGCAGUAGAGAAGCAAUCAGAGUGAAGAGCUUGAACAGGAUUCAUGGAGGUGCUGUCACAUCCAGACUUUGGAUCCUUGACGUUCAUCCACCGCUGGAGAGAGGGAAUCCUACAGUUCAGUCAGGGUGUCCACGCAGAGACAACAGUGACUCCCAGGUGUCCAGAGACGACACCGGAUCCAGGUUUCCCAGGAUCCCAGGACUGCUGGACUCCCAGGUGUCCAUACAGAGACGACAGUGACUCCCAGGUGUCCCUGCAGACAUGAUAAGGACUCAGCGAGCUGCUGGUUGGCCUUUUCCCGCCUGCCUGAGUUACUGGCUGCACGAUGGUUGGUCAUGUUGGAAUUUCCGGGGAGAAUUCAGGUCAGAGCGUCUUUGCAAAAUUAAAAACCGUGAUCCCAGAAAAUCUGAGGAAAUAUUUAUGCUUCAUAUCACAUAUCAAACGAGGGAGAGACGGAGAGGUCCAGCUGGACUGGAGACUGAAGUUCAUCUCAGUUCACGGUGUGAACCUUCAGGCUGCAGUGUAGGAGAAAAUCAUGUUUUCAUAUUUCAUAUUCAGCCCUCAGUGAGUCACUGACUCUCUCUCCUAUUCCUCCUCCUUUCUUUUCUUUUUUCUGUUCUUUCCUCGUCUCCUUUCCACACCUCUCUCCAUCGCCCCCAUUUCUACAUUCAUCCUCUCCCUCUUUUCUUUCUCUCUCCAGUAAUUUUGUAUGUAGGUCGAAUAGCUGUUAAAUGAAAAUGUCCCUCAUGCAUAGCAGAGCAGGUCUCCUUCAGAAACACAGGGACAGAAUGAGAAAUGAAAUGAAACACCUCCAGCCACUUCAAACGUGUGUGUGUGUGUGUGUGUGUGUCCUGGUGUGAACCUGUGGAGGCUGCAGUCGCUGUGCAGUCUUUGUGAA